AGAGUUUGAUCCUGGCUCAGGACGAACGCUGGCGGCGUGCCUAACACAUGCAAGUCGAGCGAUGAAAUCCCUUCGGGGGUGGAUUAGCGGCGGACGGGUGAGUAACACGUGGGUAACCUGCCUCAAAGAGGGGGAUAGCCUCCCGAAAGGGAGAUUAAUACCGCAUAACAUUAGUUUUUCACAUGGAAGACUAAUUAAAGGAGUAAUCCGCUUUGAGAUGGACCCGCGGCGCAUUAGCUAGUUGGUGAGGUAAAGGCUCACCAAGGCGACGAUGCGUAGCCGACCUGAGAGGGUGAUCGGCCACAUUGGAACUGAGACACGGUCCAGACUCCUACGGGAGGCAGCAGUGGGGAAUAUUGCACAAUGGGCGAAAGCCUGAUGCAGCAACGCCGCGUGAGUGAUGAAGGCCUUCGGGUUGUAAAGCUCUGUCUUUGGGGACGAUAAUGACGGUACCCAAGGAGGAAGCCACGGCUAACUACGUGCCAGCAGCCGCGGUAAUACGUAGGUGGCAAGCGUUGUCCGGAUUUACUGGGCGUAAAGGAUGCGUAGGCGGAUAUUUAAGUGAGAUGUGAAAUUCCCGGGCUUAACUUGGGAGCUGCAUUUCAAACUGGAUAUCUAGAGUGUGGGAGAGGAGAAUGGAAUUCCUAGUGUAGCGGUGAAAUGCGUAGAGAUUAGGAAGAACACCAGUGGCGAAGGCGAUUCUCUGGACCAUAACUGACGCUGAGGCAUGAAAGCGUGGGUAGCAAACAGGAUUAGAUACCCUGGUAGUCCACGCCGUAAACGAUGAGUACUAGGUGUAGGGGGGUCCAACCUUCUGUGCCGCAGUUAACACAAUAAGUACUCCGCCUGGGAAGUACGAUCGCAAGAUUAAAACUCAAAGGAAUUGACGG
rnacentral:rRNA from 1 species